AGUGGGUUUUUCGUCGUUCGCUGCCGGCAGCAGAAACAACAACAAAACCAAAACAAAGCGUAUAAACAAACGCGGUUUUCUAUUUUUUUUUUGGCCCCCCUCUCAAUUCGAGUCCGAAAUAUCUGUGCCAAAAACACAGCUGCAGCACCAACAAAACUCACCUUCUUCUCUUCGAGUUCCCGGAUCAAGACCUACAGUUGGAUAGAAUUUAGUUUCAGAAUUAAUGUAAAUGUUUGUAAACAAAACGAAAUUCCGCUCUUUUAGCGCGAAAUACGAUUCCAAUGCGAUCUCGCGCGAGCGCUGCUUUCAACCCACCUUCGCCGUCUCCUCCAGCGGUCCCGCGGCCAGGAACUUGGAAAUGAGGAAGUACAGCUCUGCAAGAUAGAGGAUUUCACGGGUUUUAGUGCAACAAGUUGUCGAAAAUGCGCUCGCUGGGAGUCGUCAAUAUUCCAGAUAUAUCUGGCCAAAGGGGCCCGUGAAUUUCGCUUGGCGAAACGCAGUCGAAAAAACGCAGCCAUUCGAUUCGAAGGGCGAGCGAAACACAGACACACAUUUCACAAAGUCAAAGGGGCUGCCUUUGGUAGCCCCGUUGGACGCACUCGCUGCGCCACCGGGCGGUACGCACCUGGCUUUAGAUCAUCACCGGAACUGGGUUGUCUAGUUUCCAUUAUUCAUUGCGAAUUGCAGCUCCGAUUAUGACAAAAUUGCAGUUGCUUUCUUCUAAAAUUCUUUUCGCAGCUUCUUCUUCCCGUGUGACACUCGAUUGCCAUUCCCACCGAAUGAAAUGCCUUUGCGUAUCGAUAGUUGGUGGCGGGGCUCACAAGAUGGGUAUCGAGUCUUAGCCGAAGGAGCCAAUUUUCGUAUUUGAAUUUGAGAUGAUGCACUGAAAUGCUUCGCAGGAUUCUACAAUCUAAGAUAUUUACUUCAAAUUGAGAAUUUUAAUUCUCAGUCAAACAUAUUCGUAGCC
ensembl:ncRNA asRNA:CR46093 antisense RNA:CR46093